CCUACGGGGCGCAGCAGUCGAGAAUCAUUCACAAUGGGGGAAACCCUGAUGGUGCGACGCCGCGUGGGGGAAUGAAGGUCUUCGGAUUGUAAACCCCUGUCAUGUGGGAGCAAAUUAAAAAGAUAGUACCACACGAGGAAGAGACGGCUAACUCUGUGCCAGCAGCCGCGGUAAUACAGAGGUCUCAAGCGUUGUUCGGAAUCACUGGGCGUAAAGCGUGCGUAGGCUGUUUCGUAAGUCGUGUGUGAAAGGCGCGGGCUCAACCCGCGGACGGCACAUGAUACUGCGAGACUAGAGUAAUGGAGGGGGAACCGGAAUUCUCGGUGUAGCAGUGAAAUGCGUAGAUAUCGAGAGGAACACUCGUGGCGAAGGCGGGUUCCUGGACAUUAACUGACGCUGAGGCACGAGGGCCAGGGGAGCGAAAGGGAUUAGAUACCCGAGUAGUC
rnacentral:rRNA from 1 species